AACGUAGGUGGCGAGCGUUAUCCGGAUUUACUGGGCGUAAAGCGUGUGCAGGCGGCCUCACAAGUGGUGUAUGAAAUAUCCAGGCUCAACCUGGAGGGGUUAUGCCAGACUGUGAGGCCAGAGUGCGAGAGAGGGGCGUGGAAUUCCGGGUGUAGUGGUGAAAUGCGUAGAGAUUCGGAGGAACCCCAGAGGCGAAGGCGGCGCCCUGGCUCGCAACUGACGCUCAGACACGACAGCAUGGGGAGCGAACGGG
rnacentral:rRNA from 1 species